CGCAAUGUCAACCCUGAAAUACAUCUUGGGUGGGUUCCAGGGAGAUCCAGGGCCAACAGGACGCCGGGAAAGCUAUGGAAAGUCUGUGAACUACUGCUGUCCCUUCCUGGAACCAAGAUACAGGGAUGUCAGGAUAAAAGACCAGGACAAAGGGCGGAAGCUGGAGACGGAAGCACAUCCUUUUGGAAGGUCCUGCUCCGCAUAGGCACUGGAUGGCAAUCCAUGGACUCUCAAGUCUCCCUUCCUAUGUUUGCAGUAGCUCCAGGCUGACCAUGGUCACGUAAGAGGAGCUGAGGAGGGUCUGGGUCCCAGCUCUCCUGGCUGAAGCAUCCUGUGGCCCUGGCUCCAUACAUUUGAGACUUGUUUAUCCCUCCACCAUGCCGAGAAGAGUUUAGGGGACUCACAUAUGGAGGGAGUCCUUUGCUGCUGGGACACAGCCAUGCUACUCAGUUAGAACAGUGCCCCUCUUCUUCAGGGCCAUCUCCAGCAUGUGGGCUGGAUUUUGGUCCCCACGAGCCAUCCCAGAUAUUCUAGCAGUAAUAGAGUUCUCAAUUGAGGUGGGUAAGGCCAAAAGCACUGGGCCACACCUUAAGCAAACAAAGAGCUCUGACAUGCGCAGCAGCAUCCUGACCCAGAGGACCCUGAAACCGGACCCUCAAGAUGACCGCUGCUGACAUAUGACCCAGAGCCAACCAGGAAACACCACGGCAGCUGGAAGCAGAG